rfam:Gamma proteobacterium HIMB55 ctg2504557020, whole genome shotgun sequence.
GGAGAGGUGGCCGAGUGGUCGAAGGCGCACGCCUGGAAAGUGUGUAUACGGCAACGUAUCGAGGGUUCGAAUCCCUCCUUCUCCG